GCUGGCGGCAGGCCUAACACAUGCAAGUCGAGCGCGCCUUCGGGCGAGCGGCGGACGGGUUAGUGACGCGUGGGAACGUGCCCAGAUCUACGGAAUAGCCACUGGAAACGGUGAGUAAUACCGUAUAUGCCCUUCGGGGGAAAGAUUUAUCGGAUUUGGAUCGGCCCGCGUUAGAUUAGGUAGUUGGUGGGGUAACGGCCUACCAAGCCUACGAUCUAUAGCUGGUUUUAGAGGAUGAUCAGCAACACUGGGACUGAGACACGGCCCAGACUCCUACGGGAGGCAGCAGUGGGGAAUCUUGGACAAUGGGGGCAACCCUGAUCCAGCCAUGCCGCGUGAGUGAAGAAGGCCCUAGGGUCGUAAAACUCUUUCGCCUGUGAUGAUAAUGACAGUAGCAGGUAAAGAAACCCCGGCUAACUCCGUGCCAGCAGCCGCGGUAAUACGGAGGGGGUUAGCGUUGUUCGGAAUUACUGGGCGUAAAGCGCACGUAGGCGGAUUAGAAAGUUAGAGGUGAAAUCCCGGGGCUCAACCCCGGAACUGCCUUUAAAACUACUAGUCUAGAGUUCGAGAGAGGUGAGUGGAAUUCCGAGUGUAGAGGUGAAAUUCGUAGAUAUUCGGAGGAACACCAGUGGCGAAGGCGGCUCACUGGCUCGAUACUGACGCUGAGGUGCGAAAGUGUGGGGAGCAAACAGGAUUAGAUACCCUGGUAGUCCACACCGUAAACGAUGAAUGCCAGUCGUCGGGUAGUAUACUAUUCGGUGACACACCUAACGGAUUAAGCAUUCCGCCUGGGGAGUACGGUCGCAAGAUUAAAACUCAAAGGAAUUGA
rnacentral:rRNA from 1 species